rnacentral:rRNA from 1 species
GUGAACCAUACCAAACUGUUGCCUCGGCGGGGUCACGCCCCGGGUGCGUCGCAGCCCCGGAACCAGGCGCCCGCCGGAGGGACCAACCAAACUCUUUUCUGUAGUCCCCUCGCGGACGUUAUUUCUUACAGCUCUGAGCAAAAAUUCAAAAUGAAUCAAAACUUUCAACAACGGAUCUCUUGGUUCUGGCAUCGAUGAAGAACGCAGCGAAAUGCGAUAAGUAAUGUGAAUUGCAGAAUUCAGUGAAUCAUCGAAUCUUUGAACGCACAUUGCGCCCGCCAGUAUUCUGGCGGGCAUGCCUGUCCGAGCGUCAUUUCAACCCUCGAACCCCUCCGGGGGGUCGGCGUUGGGGAUCGGGAACCCCUAAGACGGGAUCCCGGCCCCGAAAUACAGUGGCGGUCUCGCCGCAGCCUCUCCUGCGCAGUAGUUUGCACAACUCGCACCGGGAGCGCGGCGCGUCCACGUCCGUAAAACACCCAACUUCUGAAAUGUUGACCUCGG